CUUCCGCCAGGAUAUGACAUCGUCCCGGCAUGACUGCUGGGCGCGCAAAGGACCUGUGCAUGAAGAGCACAGAGGUCCGUGGCUCCAACAUAGCAGCAACCACUGGCCACCAGGAAGAGGAUCCACUCCAGUGCUCCCAGAUCAAGUUAGGGAGGCUGGGUAGACCUCUUUAGUAUUAAAUGUGUGUGCAUGUGAUUUUUGUGUAUGUUUUGUUAGUGGUUGGCUGUGUGUGUGG